CAGCCGCCGCGGUAAUACGUAGGGCGCAAGCGUUAUCCGGAAUUAUUGGGCGUAAAGAGCUCGUAGGCGGUUUGUCGCGUCUGCCGUGAAAGUCCGGGGCUCAACCCCGGAUCUGCGGUGGGUACGGGCAGACUAGAGUGAUGUAGGGGAGACUGGAAUUCCUGGUGUAGCGGUGAAAUGCGCAGAUAUCAGGAGGAACACCGAUGGCGAAGGCAGGUCUCUGGGCAUUAACUGACGCUGAGGAGCGAAAGCAUGGGGAGCGAACAGGAUUAGAUACCCCCGUAGUCCCUGUCUCUUAUAC
rnacentral:rRNA from 1 species